AUUGAACGCUGGCGGCAGGCCUAACACAUGCAAGUCGAGCGAGCGGCGGACGGGUGAGUAAUGUAUGGGGACUGCCCGAUAGAGGGGGAUAACUACUGGAAACGGUGGCUAAUACCGCAUACUAUUGGAUAACCCAUAUGGGAUUAGCUAGUAGGUGGGGUAAAGGCUCACCUAGGCGACGAUCUCUCGCUGGUCUGAGAGGAUGAUAAGGCAAACUGGGAAUGCGACACGGCCCAGACUCCCACGGAGGCAGCAGGGGGGAAUAUUGCACAAGGGGCGCAAGCCUUAUGCAGCCAUGCCGCGGUGAAGAAGAAGGCCUUAGGGUUGUAAAGUACUUUCAGCGGGGAGGCGUUACCCGCAGAAGAAGCACCGGCUAACUCCGUGCCAGCAGCCGCGGUAAUUC
rnacentral:rRNA from 1 species